GCGAGAGUGGUGAAAUUGGUAGACACGCUAGAUUUAGGAUCUAGUGCCGAAAGGCGUGGGGGUUCGAGUCCCCCCUCUCGUA
rnacentral:tRNA from 1 species